GACGAACGCUGGCGGCGUGCUUAACACAUGCAAGUCGAACGAGUGGCGAACGGGUGAGUAAUACGUGAGUAACCUGCCCUCUUUUUGGGAUAAGCCUUGGAAACGGGGUCUAAUACCGGAUAAAGGGGGAUGGGCUCGCGGCCUAUCAGCGUGUUGGUGGGGUGAUGGCCUACCAAGGCGGUAACGGGUAGCCGGGCUGAGAGGGUGACAGGCAACAUUGAGACUGUGAUACGGCCCAGGGUACGAAGGGGGGGAGAAGUUGGGGAUAUUGGACAAAGGGCGAAAGCCUGAUGCAGCGACGACGCGUGGGGGAUUAAGGCUUUAGGGUAGUAAAACUCUUGCGGUAGCGAAGGGUUAGGUGGAGAAGAAGCGCCGGCUAACUACGUGCCAGCCGCCGCGGUAAUAC
rnacentral:rRNA from 1 species